AUCUUGCACAAUGGGGGCAACCCUGAUGCAGCGACGCCGCGUGAGCGAUGAAGCCCUUCGGGGCGUAAAGCUCUUUCGACCGGAACGAUAAUGACGGUACCGGGAGAAGAAGCUGUGGCUAACUACGUGCCAGCAGCCGCGGUAAUACGUAGGCAGCAAGCGUUGUUCGGAGUUACUGGGCGUAAAGAGUGCGUAGGCGGUUUUCUAAGUUCGGUGUGAAAUCUCCCGGCUUAACUGGGAGGGUGCGCCGAAGACUGGGAAGCUGGAGUGCGGGAAAGGCAGGCGGAAUUCCUGGUGUAGCGGUGAAAUGCGUAGAUAUCAGGAGGAACACCGGCGGUGUAGACGGCUUGCUAGACCAUAACUGACGCUGAGGCACGAAAGCGUGGGUAGCAAACA
rnacentral:rRNA from 1 species